UCAAGAGAGAAGAGAAUUUCAGGAGGAAGGCAGUGGUUAAUACUGCCAACUGACACAAAUAGGUCAGCUAAGGUUUUCAUGCAAAGGAAAAAAAAAAGCAUUUGAUUUAGCAACUUGGGGGUGGAGUGUGAGGGUGGUGUUCCAGUUUUGCCAGAGCCCCUUGAGUAGAGUUGUUAGGGUUGGAAUCCAGAUUGCAGUCUGUGGAAGAGUAGACAGGAGGCUACGCUGCCUCUCCAGGCGGGAGGACUUGGGGAUCUGCAGAGAAGGGAGCCUUUGCAGGUGUAGUGCUGAAGACCCGUUUACCAGGUAGGUGUCCUGUCUUCCUGACUUCCAGUGUGGCCCUGUCUCCUCCUUCAGUCUCUCUGUGAGGUCACCCUUGGGCCUUGCUUCAGCCCCACUUUGCGUCUACCUAUUCUUCCCUUGGGUCUUUAUUGAUAAGUAUCUCUUUCAUCAUCUGGCUGCCAAAAUGACAAGAAACAUUCCCCCUCUCCUUAGCCCUGAAUUCCCGACUCAGAUGGUCCAACACUCAUUUGCUUCACCAGCUGCCGUCU
rnacentral:lncRNA from 1 species